ACAACUACAACAACAAAACAGUCCCUUGGAAAAACUGGUCUGGUACUUUAUCUACAUGGUUCCUCUUACAGAAUUUCUGACUUUGUGGUCACUUCAUCGCAUGAUUUUGAAAAUGGAGUUUAUCUCAAUGAACUUCCUACAGAAUCAGAUUCCCAGAGGACGUAACUGAGAGAUACCAGGAGUGAUCUGAGAAAGCAGAUGUGUGAAUAGAAGUCCAAAAUGAAGGAGACAGCAGAAUCGGUUCCUGCUGAAGACUUCGAGGGAAGAAUCUGUCUCAAGCCCUCUCUUCUCAACUUGUAGGUAGCUCUCUUCUCCUUACGUCUCUUAUAUCAUCUGUUCCUAUGCACAACUCUUUGUUCACAUUCUCCCUUUUUAUAAGGACAUUAGGCAUAUUAGAUUAAGCCUGAUCUAAUAGCCUCAUUUUAACUUGAUUACUGCUCUAAAGACCUUAUCUCUAAACAACAUCACAUUCUAUGGUCCUGGGGCCUAAUAAUUCAACCUACUCAUUUUUGGGGGUUACAAAAUUCAACUCAUAACAAGCAAUGACUUGUUUCAGACUCUCUUUAAUAUUCUUGAGUUCCAACAAAGAGAAACAACCAUAAGAAAAAAAAAAAGGAAAACAAAAACCCUACUUUCCUGGAUCUUACUUCAACUUGGGGGAAAGGAAAAUAAACAAAUAAAUUAAUGUAUAUAAAACAGAUCAGCUACUGUUAAUAAAGAAACAUAAAGCCAAAAUGUAUAUAUAUGGAUGGGGGUGCUGUUUUGUAUCGAUGUUCAAAUAAAUUAAUGUAUAUAAAACAGAUCAGCUACUGUUAAUAAAGAAACAUAAAGCCAAAAUGUAUAUAUAUGGAUGGGGGUGCUGUUUUGUAUCGAUGUUCUGGAAAAUUCUUUCUGAUAAAGUAUCACUGAGUAUGCUAUCUAACCAUACCAUGAGAAACAGCCACAGAUAUUUAAGGUGGAAUUCCAUCAUAGGCAGAAGAAUAGACAGAGAGGUUCUGAAAGAAGAAUCAUUAUUGUCUAUAAAGAAUAUCAAAGGCUUCUCUUUUGCAAGUCUGGAACGAGUAAGAUGAGACUGAUACAAGAGAAUUUCUUACUGGUUAAAGGAAGCCAGAUCUUGCAGUACCAUGUUGGCCAUGGUGACUUAUUUAGUUUUCAUUCUAAGUGAAAUGGGAAACCAUUGCAAAUUUGGGUAAAGAAAGAAGAUAAAUAAUGUGACUUACAUCUAAAAAUAUUUCUUUUACUCUGGGAUAGUCAAAUAACUAACCAGAACAAAGGUGAAAGAUAGGACACCAAUUAGAAGGUUUCUGCAGUAGUCCAGUUGAGAGAUGAUGGUUGUUUGGUUUCAUAGAAUAGUGGUCCAGCUUUUGAGUAUAAAUCAAACUGUAGAUAUAUUUAUAAGUUAGAGCCAUUGGUAUUUUCUCUUACAUCGAUUUGCAGAAAUAAGUGAAAGAUGACUCAAAGAGAUUAGACUAAAAGAGUUGUCAAUCAGAUGGUUAUUAUUGAAAUAUAACAGGCAGGAAACAGGGGCUGGUUUGGGUGAGGAAAUCAUGUGUCUAGUAUUUGGAAAUGUUAAAUUUGGGAUGCCUGUUUUAGCUAUACAAGACAGCUUGCAGAUUUACACCCUGGUUUAAUGAGUCCGGAUUUUAGGAGAGAAAAUUCUGUGUACUAAAUGACUUGAGGAAAUCAAUUCAGAGAAGAGAAAAUUCAACAUGAAUCAUUAGUUUUAAACUAGUGUACAUUUUAACAGAUUGCCAAACUUCACCUCUAAAGUUUCUUAAAUAUGCUAAAGUUUGAGAAGCACUGGUCUAGACAAUUUUCACCAAACAUUCUGUAGCCACAAUAACCUCU